UUGUACAUUUACAUGUUUGUCUGUACAAUAAAUAUGUUCAUAAUUGCAAGGAAGUCUCUCCUGAUUGAAAUGGUGGCGAGGUUCCUCAAGCAGUUCCCUGCCAUCCAGGCAGCUGCCAUGGACGCUCGGUUAAAGAGGGCAAUGGAGAAGGACAGACUGGAGCGAGUUACUGAUGAUGACUUCAGAAAAGCAGAGGAGUUUGUUAAAGUCAUGAAGCUACUGUAUACUUCAACACUUUGCAUGUCCGCUGAAAGAAUUCCAACAUUGGGUCAGAUUCUGCCCAUCUUGGGAUGAGUGCAUUCAGCAGUUUUUAGAGGAAAGCAGGGCCUUAGACCCAAGAUUUAAGUCAAGAGCAGUGUGGGGCAGAGUAGAGGAGGAGCUGAUUAGUAGGGCCACACGUCAGAAUAAAGGUGAAAGGACCCAGGCCCAGCAGCCCGAAGAAGACAAUGAAGAGGCAAAGCGGGCAAAGCUUUGUGCCCUUGAGGAGAUUU